AUUAAGGAAGAAAAAAACAAACAAACAGCCCCACCCCACUAAUCUCUUCCUAGCUUCAUCCCAGAUUUGGUACUUGGUUUACAAAGAAAGAUGUUAUUUAUUCGUAAUAUGUACACUAUAUAAACUCUUGAACCUUAAGACUUCUAGCUAUUGUACGUUCUUCUCCGGUUUAUGUUGUUCCUGUUAUUACAAUGGGGGUUCGUAAUCUGACUAUUGUCUCAUGCAUGCUGGUUUAGUUUUCUUUCCCUCUCCAUACGUUUCCUUUAAAAAGAAAUACAAAAGAUGCUUGUAUGUUUUGGACACCAAAUUUCAUCACUUGAGUGUUUAUGAUCAGAAAGGUGGUGAGCUUUGAACUUUUCUACAAAGAAUCCUAUUAACUAUUAGUUAGUCUCGCGUCAAGACGAGGUUCUCACACAUCUUGGAGUGGCAUGCAUACCACUUACUAGAUUUAUGCUCCGAGAGUGUCUACCUCAUUUCUUAGAAUACGCAUCCAAAAAUAUCCGAAAUAUAUGCGCCUCCGCAAAAGAAUCUGAUACAAUUUAGCAUCUCUUCUUUGAGAUCACAAAGAGGCUUCCAGCUGAGUUUAUUCCAUUAUCAUGAUCAAGUGCCAGCACCGUUUCUGAUCACUUCCAUAAUUCCAUUUGAUGUAUGACAUGAUUCCAAUUCCCUGUCACGAUCAUAUAUAGUUUCGAAACUCAGCUAUAUAUGGAUGCCUCUUGCUGUGUAGCUUAUACUUGAGGACAGCAACGUACGUAGACACGUCUUUGAGUGUGAAGAGUAUCCAGCAAAAGAAAAAAAACAGAAAAAUGGCAUCACUCAAACCUGAGAAGCCUGUUGCAGGCGCUCAACCACCUCCUCAGGUCAAGAAAGAGCCUUCAAAACCUGCUACCGGGAGCACAGCUACACCCAAAGCUCCGGCCUCCAAACAAGCCCCUAAGAAGCCUGAGGCAAGGCUUCGGGAGCCUAAGAAGAAGGCAGCAGGAGCCAAGUAAGUAGAGUUAAUGAGGACGACAAGGCGUGCGUUUGAAGGGUCCGUGAAGAUGGCAAUUCACGCCGGUCCUACUUAAUAAUCUUCAUCAAUAUUACAGAAGUUGCUUCUGAUUUGUAUCCAUGUGUCUCUUUUUAGGCUUGGCCUACUAAAUAAAAACAAAACUAUUUCAAUAAAGAGUUAAUUAGUACUUGUCAA